rnacentral:rRNA from 1 species
GGUCAAGUGAAGAAGCGCAUACGGUGGAUGCCUUGGCAGUCAGAGGCGAUGAAAGACGUGGUAGCCUGCGAAAAGCUUCGGGGAGUCGGCAAACAGACUUUGAUCCGGAGAUGUCUGAAUGGGGGAACCCAGCCAUCAUAAGAUGGUUAUCUUGUACUGAAUACAUAGGUGCAAGAGGCGAACCAGGGGAACUGAAACAUCUAAGUACCCUGAGGAAAAGAAAUCAACCGAGAUUCCCUUAGUAGUGGCGAGCGAACGGGGACUAGCCCUUAAGUGGCUUUGAGAUUAGCGGAACGCUCUGGAAAGUGCGGCCAUAGUGGGUGAUAGCCCUGUACGCGAAAAUCUCUUAGUCAUGAAAUCGAGUAGGACGGAGCACGAGAAACUUUGUCUGAAUAUGGGGGGACCAUCCUCCAAGGCUAAAUACUACUGACUGACCGAUAGUGAACUAGUACCGUGAGGGAAAGGCGAAAAGAACCCCGGAGAGGGGAGUGAAAUAGAUCCUGAAACCGUAUGCGUACAAGCAGUGGGAGCCCACUUUGUUGGGUGACUGCGUACCUUUUGUAUAAUGGGUCAGCGACUUAUUUUCAGUGGCGAGCUUAACCGAAUAGGGGAGGCGUAGCGAAAGCGAGUCUUAAUAGGGCGUCUAGUCGCUGGGAAUAGACCCGAAACCGGGCGAUCUAUCCAUGGGCAGGUUGAAGGUUGGGUAACACUAACUGGAGGACCGAACCGACUACCGUUGAAAAGUUAGCGGAUGACCUGUGGAUCGGAGUGAAAGGCUAAUCAAGCUCGGAGAUAGCUGGUUCUCCUCGAAAGCUAUUUAGGUAGCGCCUCAUGUAUCACUGUAGGGGGUAGAGCACUGUUUCGGCUAGGGGGUCAUCCCGACUUACCAAACCGAUGCAAACUCCGAAUACCUACAAGUGCCGAGCAUGGGAGACACACGGCGGGUGCUAACGUCCGUCGUGAAAAGGGAAACAACCCAGACCGUCAGCUAAGGUCCCAAAGUUAUGGUUAAGUGGGAAACGAUGUGGGAAGGCUUAGACAGCUAGGAGGUUGGCUUAGAAGCAGCCACCCUUUAAAGAAAGCGUAAUAGCUCACUAGUCGAGUCGGCCUGCGCGGAAGAUGUAACGGGGCUCAAACCAUACACCGAAGCUACGGGUAUCACUUAGGUGAUGCGGUAGAGGAGCGUUCUGUAAGCCUGUGAAGGUGAGUUGAGAAGCUUGCUGGAGGUAUCAGAAGUGCGAAUGCUGACAUGAGUAACGACAAUGGGUGUGAAAAACACCCACGCCGAAAGACCAAGGUUUCCUGCGCAACGUUAAUCGACGCAGGGUUAGUCGGUCCCUAAGGCGAGGCUGAAAAGCGUAGUCGAUGGAAAACAGGUUAAUAUUCCUGUACUUCUGGUUAUUGCGAUGGAGGGACGGAGAAGGCUAGGCCAGCUUGGCGUUGGUUGUCCAAGUUUAAGGUGGUAGGCUGAGAUCUUAGGUAAAUCCGGGAUCUUAAGGCCGAGAGCUGAUGACGAGUUACCCUUUGGGUGACGAAGUGGUUGAUGCCAUGCUUCCAAGAAAAGCUUCUAAGCUUCAGAUAACCAGGAACCGUACCCCAAACCGACACAGGUGGUUGGGUAGAGAAUACCAAGGCGCUUGAGAGAACUCGGGUGAAGGAACUAGGCAAAAUGGCACCGUAACUUCGGGAGAAGGUGCGCCGGUGAGGGUGAAGCACUUGCUGCGUAAGCCCACGCCGGUCGAAGAUACCAGGCCGCUGCGACUGUUUAUUAAAAACACAGCACUCUGCAAACACGAAAGUGGACGUAUAGGGUGUGACGCCUGCCCGGUGCCGGAAGGUUAAUUGAUGGGGUUAGCUAACGCGAAGCUCUUGAUCGAAGCCCCGGUAAACGGCGGCCGUAACUAUAACGGUCCUAAGGUAGCGAAAUUCCUUGUCGGGUAAGUUCCGACCUGCACGAAUGGCGUAACGAUGGCGGCGCUGUCUCCACCCGAGACUCAGUGAAAUUGAAAUCGCUGUGAAGAUGCAGUGUAUCCGCGGCUAGACGGAAAGACCCCGUGAACCUUUACUAUAGCUUUGCACUGGACUUUGAAUUUGCUUGUGUAGGAUAGGUGGGAGGCUUUGAAGCGUGGACGCCAGUUCGCGUGGAGCCAUCCUUGAAAUACCACCCUGGCAACUUUGAGGUUCUAACUCAGGUCCGUUAUCCGGAUCGAGGACAGUGUAUGGUGGGUAGUUUGACUGGGGCGGUCUCCUCCUAAAGAGUAACGGAGGAGUACGAAGGUGCGCUCAGACCGGUCGGAAAUCGGUCGUAGAGUAUAAAGGCAAAAGCGCGCUUGACUGCGAGACAGACACGUCGAGCAGGUACGAAAGUAGGUCUUAGUGAUCCGGUGGUUCUGUAUGGAAGGGCCAUCGCUCAACGGAUAAAAGGUACUCCGGGGAUAACAGGCUGAUACCGCCCAAGAGUUCAUAUCGACGGCGGUGUUUGGCACCUCGAUGUCGGCUCAUCACAUCCUGGGGCUGAAGCCGGUCCCAAGGGUAUGGCUGUUCGCCAUUUAAAGUGGUACGCGAGCUGGGUUUAGAACGUCGUGAGACAGUUCGGUCCCUAUCUGCCGUGGACGUUUGAGAUUUGAGAGGGGCUGCUCCUAGUACGAGAGGACCGGAGUGGACGAACCUCUGGUGUUCCGGUUGUCACGCCAGUGGCAUUGCCGGGUAGCUAUGUUCGGAAAAGAUAACCGCUGAAAGCAUCUAAGCGGGAAACUUGCCUCAAGAUGAGAUCUCACUGGGACCUUGAGUCCCCUGAAGGGCCGUCGAAGACUACGACGUUGAUAGGUGGGGUGUGUAAGCGCUGUGAGGCGUUGAGCUAACCCAUACUAAUUGCCCGUGAGGCUUGACCAU